rnacentral:tRNA from 1 species
AAAAAUUUAGUUAAAAAUAUAACAUUAGUUUGUCAUACUAAAAUUAUUGAUUAAAAUUAAUAAUUUUUA